AUUUCACAGAAGUUGCAGGGGGGGAGGUGGCAGAUGUUUUGGUGUAUAUCUCGUGAACCAGACCACCUAGAAAUGUAAUUUUUUUUAAUUAAAGCUGAGAGUCCGGAGAUUAAGGUGACUCACCCAGAGACUCAGAGAGGACUCCAAAAAGCUGGAGUAUCCGGCCGAAAACUGGACACCUGAUAACCCUACUGAGCAUAUGCGCAAUUCUUUCAGCAACGGGAUGACAUGUUGGCGAUACACUGCCCCAGUGAGCAGGCUUGCUGCCACAUUUUGCACCAGCUACAGCUUCCGGACCAACCUCAAGGGCAGCCCCACAUAGACCGCAUUACAGUAAUCCAGCCUGGAGGUUACCAGUGUGUGGACAACAGUGGUCAGGCUAUCCCAGUCAGCUGUCUUACCAGCCAAACCUGGCAAAAGGCUCUCCUAGCCACUGAGGUCACCUGGGCCUCUAGCGACAAAGAUGGAUCCAGAAGCACCCACAGACUACGGACCUACUCUUUCAGAAGGGGUACAAUCCCAUCCAUAGCAGGCAACUGACCAAUUAUUUGAACUCGGGAACCACCAAUCCUCAGCUCCUCUGCCUUGCUAGGUUUCAGACUCAGUUUAUCCCCUUCAGGCUUCUCUACUCCAUGUGAAAGAUGAUGACUCUUUAACAACUUGUUUUCAAUAACCUUUACUGUCUUCAUUGCUGUCUUCUGAACUCAUUCUGAUUUGUCUACAUCCUUCUUAAAGUGUGGUGCCCAGAACUAGACACAGUACUCCAGAUGAGGUCUGACUGGUACAGAAUUAAAUGGAAUUAUUGGUUCCUGUGACGUGAAAAUUAUAGCUCUAUGAAUUUCAUCUAAACUCUCAUUAGUCUUUUUGUUGCAGCAUCACACUAUUUACUCAUGUUCAGGUUGUGAUGAUGGACUAUAAUCCUGAGAUCCUUUACACAUGUACUACUGCCAAGCCAGGUUUUUUCCCCAUCCUAUACCUGUGCGUUUGAUUUUUUUUUGUCUUUUGACAUGCCCCUUCUAUGAUGAGCUUCCGCCGGGCCUUCAAGACCUGGCUCUUCAGGCAGGCUUUUGGGGUGGGUUAGGUUUUUUACUGAUUAUGGUUUUAAAUGUUAAUGUUUUAAUGUAUUGUUUUAUCUUGUACGUCGCCCAGAGUGGCUGGACAACCAGCCAGAUGGGCGACUAAUAAAUUUAAUAAAUAAAAUAAUAAUAAUAAUAAUAAUUGGUUUUAGCUUCAGCACCACUCCUAUGCCUUCCCAUAGGUCAUUACCAACAGUAAUGUAAUAGGCACAUUAUUCAGAAUAGAGACACAGUAAUUCUUGCUAAAGAAUUCGCAUUUUGCUAAAUAUAUUUAAUUUACUAUAUACCUAACUUUGUAAUGCCGGGCCUGUGUUCUCAGAUAUAGAAUUUUCACUUUUUCGUUCUGGAAGUUUACUUAAUUUAAUCACUAACACAUACUUCUAAUCACUGAAAUGUUUUGUAUGUUUCUCUCUUUCUUUGCUAACUUGCAACUCUUUCCAAUUCAACACUGACUGUCAUGUUAAUUAGUAUGCUAUUCAUAUUGUUUCUUCUUUUGAGAUCAUUAAUGGAGAAGUUAAACAGCAUUGAUUUUUGUGGCUUAAUUUACAGCCUUCCAAUUACAUUUCAGCCCAUAUGAUUUGCUAAUACACAGUCCAGCUUGAAAUAAGUGUGUGAGGCAGAUGAUUUUAGAGGGGGGCAUAUGCUCACUAACAAUUUCAUUCAAUAAUGUUUAGCUUCACACCAUAGUGACUGUUCUGUUUUUUUUCCUAUGGGAAGUUUCUUGGUGGCAAUUAAGUUUAAAUCCUUGGUGGAGAUUAAGUAAACCACAUCAUUAAGCUUCACUGACUACUCAAGAGGACCUGGAAGUGUAGUUGGAUGAUUCCUAGCCCUCUGUAUUGAUCCUAGAGAAAGGUAGAUUACUCUUGUACAAAUGUCUGCACUACUCUCUACGCAAUGGAGCACAGCUGAGAUUACCCCAUUCUUUUAAUGAACAUCUAUACACUUUUUUUUUUAAAUCCUCUUUCAGAUUGAAUUUGUUAUGUGACGCUGUAUUAAUAAACAAGUCAGACCAUU